rnacentral:rRNA from 1 species
GAUGACCGCUGGCGGCGUGCCUAAUACAUGCAAGUCGAGCGAAGCGGGGACGGGUGAGUAACACGUGGAUAACCUCCUAUAAGACUGGGAUAACUUCGGGAAACCGGAGCUAAACCGGAUACUUAUCGAUGGAUCCUCGCUGCAUUAGCUAGUUGGUAAGGUAACGGCUUACCAAGGCAACGAUCCAUAGCCGACCUGGGAGGUUGUUCGGCACCACUUGAACUGAGAAACGGUCCAGACUCCUAGGGGAGGCAGCAGAAGGGAAGCUUCCGAAAUGGGGGAAAGCCUGACAGAGCAACGCCGCUUGAGUGAUGAAGGUCGUCGGAUCGUAAAACGCGGUUAUUAGGGAAGCGGUACCUAAUCAGAAAGCCACGGCUAACUACGUGCCAGCAGCCGCGGUAAUUC